rnacentral:rRNA from 1 species
GUAAAGUACUUUCAGCAGUGAGGAAGGUGGAUAUGUUAAUAGCAUAUUCAUUUGACGUUAGCUGCAGAAGAAGCACCGGCUAACUCCGUGCCAGCAGCCGCGGUAAUACGGAGGGUGCGAGCGUUAAUCGGAAUUACUGGGCGUAAAGCGCAUGCAGGUGGUUUGUUAAGUCAGAUGUGAAAGCCCGGGGCUCAACCUCGGAAUUGCAUUUGAAACUGGCAAACUAGAGUACUGUAGAGGGGGUAGAAUUUCAGGUGUAGCGGUGAAAUGCGUAGAGAUCUGAAGGAAUACCGGUGGCGAAGGCGGCCCCCUGGACAGAUACUGACACUCAGAUGCGAAAGCGUGGGGAGCAAACAGGAUUAGAUACCCUGGUAG